CCUACGGGGAGCAGCAGUGAGGAAUAUUGGUCAAUGGGCGUAAGCCUGAACCAGCCAAGUCGCGUGAGGGAUGAAGGUUCUAUGGAUCGUAAACCUCUUUUAUAAGGGCAUAGAGUGUGGGACGUGUCCUAUUUUGUAUGUACCUUAUGAAUAAGGAUCGGCUAACUCCGUGCCAGCAGCCGCGGUAAUACGGAGGAUCCGAGCGUUAUCCGGAUUUAUUGGGUUUAAGGGGUGGGUAGGCGGCCUUUUAAGUAAGCGGUGAAAGUCUGUGGCUCAACCAUAGAAUUGCCGUUGAAACUGGGGGGCUUGAGUAUGUUUGAGGCAGGCGGAAUGCGUGGUGUAGCGGUGAAAUGCUUAGAUAUCACGCAGAACCCCGAUUGCGAAGGCAGCCUGCCAAGCCAUGACUGACGCUGAUGCACGAAAGCGUGGGGAUCAAACAGGAUUAGAUACCCUGGUAGUC
rnacentral:rRNA from 1 species